UACGUAGGGUGCGAGCGUUGUCCGGAAUUAUUGGGCGUAAAGGGGCUCGUAGGCGGUUCGUCACGUCGGGAGUGAAAACUCGGAGCUUAACUCCGAGCCUGCUUCCGAUACGGGCAGACUAGAGGUAGGCAGGGGAGAGCGGAACUCCUGGUGUAGCGGUGGAAUGCGCAGAUAUCAGGAAGAACACCGGUGGCGAAGGCGGCUCUCUGGGCCUUACCUGACGCUGAGACGCGAAAGCGUGGGGAGCAAACAGG
rnacentral:rRNA from 1 species